rnacentral:rRNA from 1 species
GGUAACAGGAAGCAGCUUGCUGCUUCGCUGACGAGUGGCGGACGGGUGAGUAAUGUCUGGGAAGCUGCCUGAUGGAGGGGGAUAACUACUGGAAACGGUAGCUAAUACCGCAUAAUGUCGCAAGACCAAAGAGGGGGACCUUCGGGCCUCUUGCCAUCGGAUGUGCCCAGAUGGGAUUAGCUUGUUGGUGGGGUAACGGCUCACCAAGGCGACGAUCCCUAGCUGGUCUGAGAGGAUGACCAGCCACACUGGAACUGAGACACGGUCCAGACUCCUACGGGAGGCAGCAGUGGGGAAUAUUGCACAAUGGGCGCAAGCCUGAUGCAGCCAUGCCGCGUGUAUGAAGAAGGCCUUCGGGUUGUAAAGUACUUUCAGCGGGGAGGAAGGGAGUAAAGUUAAUACCUUUGCUCAUUGACGUUACCCGCAGAAGAAGCACCGGCUAACUCCGUGCCAGCAGCCGCGGUAAUACGGAGGGUGCAAGCGUUAAUCGGAAUUACUGGGCGUAAAGCGCACGCAGGCGGUUUGUUAAGUCAGAUGUGAAAUCCCCGGGCUCAACCUGGGAACUGCAUCUGAUACUGGCAAGCUUGAGUCUCGUAGAGGGGGGUAGAAUUCCAGGUGUAGCGGUGAAAUGCGUAGAGAUCUGGAGGAAUACCGGUGGCGA